CCAGUUUCAACAACAUGGGCAUUGACAAUGUACCAGUGAUUUAAUGUUUCACUCAAUGCAUCUUCAUUGUGUCCUAAUAUUUCCUAUGAAAAAAAACAACAUUAAUUGGAUAAUUACAAAUGAGAGAAGAACAACCAACUGGUUGUUUUGUUGAUGCUUGACGUCCCUCAACGACAUUCGGAAUGAUAUCAUCAAGAUGCAUCAAAAACAACUGAAAAAAUAAAUGACCAAUUAUUAUUUUCAUAACUGGGAUAUUAAAAAUAUUUAUUUUUGAAUAAUUGUGAUGAAAGAACACCAGCUAAACUCAAAGGUACCUUAUUUGUUAUUUUUUUUUUUUCUAAAAAAAGUUGUAUUUAAUUAUUAUUUUUAAUUAUUAUUUAAUUAACUACAUUUUAAUUAAUGCUUUCAUAAUCAGUUGGUGUUAUUAAAACUGCUAAAGAAAUAAUUUUCUUUAUAAAUUUUCUUAGACUGGCGUGUGUUUUCAAGGACAUUUAUUAUUUAUUUUUUUUUUUUAUUUUAAUUUGUUUAUAAUAAUAAAAGACAAUCAGUAGACACGGUGCUCGUCGAAUGACUAAUUACAAUGACAAAACUAAACUUUCAAGUACAUAAUUUUUCCUUUCUUUUUUUUUUAUUUAUUUAUAUAUUUUUUAAAUAAUUAUUAUAACAAUUUUAAAUAGUUUUUUUCUAC